rfam:Nicotiana attenuata strain TT chromosome 2, whole genome shotgun sequence.
UAGCUGUGAUGAAUAUUUGUGCUCAAUGCGGUGAUUAGGGGUCUCCGCACUCUUCUGAAUUUGUAGGAAGAUGAGUUGCGCAUCUGAGCUU